UACGAAGGGGGCUAGCGUUGCUCGGAAUUACUGGGCGUAAAGGGUGCGUAGGCGGACAUUUAAGUCAGGGGUGAAAUCCCAGAGCUCAACUCUGGAACUGCCUUUGAUACUGGAUGUCUUGAGUGUGAGAGAGGUAUGUGGAACUCCGAGUGUAGAGGUGAAAUUCGUAGAUAUUCGGAAGAACACCAGUGGCGAAGGCGACUCACUGGACACAUAUUGACGCUGAGGUGCGAAAGCGUGGGGAGCAAACAGG
rnacentral:rRNA from 1 species